rnacentral:rRNA from 1 species
CCUACGGGCGGCAGCAGUGAGGAAUAUUGGUCAAUGGGCGCGAGCCUGAACCAGCCAAGUAGCGUGAAGGAUGACUGCCCUACGGGUUGUACACUUCUUUUAUAAAGGAAUAAAGUGAGGCAAGUGUGCCUUUUUGUAUGUACUUUAUGAAUAAGGAUCGGCUAACUCCGUGCCAGCAGCCGCGGUAAUAAGGCGGAUCCGAGCGUUAUCCGGAUUUAUUGGGUUUAAAGGGAGCGUAGAUGGGUUGUUAAGUCAGUUGUGAAAGUUUGCGGAUCAACCGUAAAAUUGCAAUUGAUACUGGCAGUCUUGAGUACAGUUGAGGUAGGCGGAAUUCGUGGUGUAGCGGUGAAAUGCUUAGAUAUCACGAAGAACCCCGAUUGCGAAGGCAGCUUACUAAACUGUGACUGACAUUGAUGCUCGAAAGUGUGGGUAUCAAACAGGAUUAGAUACCCCUGUAGUC